ensembl:lncRNA
GCAUAUUGCUUUCUCUGACGACUGUACUCGCUGCUUCCAGUUCUUUCUGGAGAGCUUUUCGAGUGGUCCUCGGCUCUUGGGCUUCUCCUCGGCGUAACUUUCUGUCAGCCCUGUCAGAAAUCUUGCGAGGAGCUCCUGCGUGUGGCCGGUUGAUAGUCGCCUAAUGGUGCUUAAAGGAACAUUUGGGAGUAAUUCUUUGGAGAGCGCUUUGCUUCUACUCAUCAUGAGAUGUUUCUUGCGCGACAGUUUGGUGACAAAUGAUUUGUUUACUUGUAUUCAGAGACUUGUCCAGCGCUAGAAGAACCAGAGAGCUGCUUCACAGAAGAAAGAAGAAGAAGAAGAAGCAGAAGGAGGAAAUGAGGUGCGUAUGAAAAAACUGGUUUACGUGAUGAAUCAUUCCAUUUAUACUUGAAUAAUGUCUCCAAGCUGCAGUUAGCGUUAGCCUAGCAGGUAUAUAUUAUUAGAAUAUAUUACUGAAACAGUGUUAACUUGAAUAACGAAGGCUGCGGUUCACUCUACAGGUAAGUAUUUAAAGACUACACCAUGUUGUUCUAUGCGUUUUGUUCACAGAGAGCUUUUUAGUGAAGCCGUGAGCUGCUGAAUGAUUUCUGAGUUUUUAAUUUAAUCUCUGAUCCAGAAUCCUAAAUUGUGGUGGUCUCCUUUACCUACCGUGUAGUGAUUAGAAGACUAUCAUGAUUCAGUGAUCCCGUGUGUGAAGCUGCUCCGUUUUGUACUCUGUAUAGCAAUAAAAAUACACAACCAUUUUAUCAUGAGAUCUGCUGGACAAUUUAAAAAUAAAUAAAUAAAUCAG